UACGUAGGGCGCAAGCGUUGUCCGGAAUUAUUGGGCGUAAAGAGCUCGUAGGCGGCCAGUUGCGUCUGCUGUGAAAUCCCGGGGCUCAACCCCGGGCGUGCAGUGGAUACGGGCUGGCUAGAGGCAGGCAGGGGAGAACGGAAUUCCCGGUGUAGCGGUGAAAUGCGCAGAUAUCGGGGAGGAACACCGGUGGCGAAGGCGGUUCUCUGGGCCUGUACUGACGCUGAGGAGCGAAAGCGUGGGGAGCGAACAGG
rnacentral:rRNA from 1 species